UUGACCUUUUUUGCUUGUCCUAAACUUAUACUAAUUAUUGCAAAUAAGAUUAUUAUUUUCUUUAAAAGUCUAUACAUGAAAUACUACUUUGGAUUCACCAUUUUAAUUUAGUCCUGGGAUUACACUUGAGACUUCUGAAGGAGAACCAACAAGUGGGUUUGGGUUUCCCUAUCAUCUGAAUUGAGGGAGUCGCUUGAAACUGAAACUACAGGUGUUGGGGAUCCUUCCACAGGCUUAAUUAGCAGUGGCCUUGUUGGAUCUGUUUCUUGAAGCUUUGCAGGAAUCUACUCCAUAACAGUUUCUAAGAAUGUGUAAUUUGACAUUCUAGAAUGUGCACUUUUCUGCCUGUUAUUCAUAUUUACAAUCAUCAGCAAGAGUACCCACUCCACACAGGAACAAGGGAAGCCAGUUUACUCCAAGAACAUCACCUACACAUUUUGUUGCUAAUCAACAUACUAUCUAGUGGAUUUGCCAGAAGUGGGCAGUUGUGCAGGCUUUCAAACCUGAAGUCAAACAAGAAUAGAGGAGCAUCUGAGUUCUCUUCCCCUGCAGCAAGGUUGGCCCCACUGUGGACCUGGGGAAUGGACUACUGCUGUUAUCUAUCCUAUGAACAGGAUAGAUCUAAUGAAGAAACACACAGAGUCUAUGAAAUUUAGGCUUGAACUUUUUAGUUUGAAACUUUUGUUGCCCAGCGGUAAUGAUGAUGAAAAUAAUUGAUACCUUGUAAAUUAUGUUUUCAUUAUUUUAAGUAUUUGCAUAAGAAUUUACCAUUCUCCAAAUCAGGUUACGAGUUCAAUACAUUAUGUCAGCCCUUGCAUCAUUCUCCCCCAUUAAUCCAAGGAAAUUUGAUACUUGAAUUGCCCACUCUGUCAGAAUGACUGAAGGAGCACUAUGUGAGGGGUCGAAUUUCUGGGAGCAAUGAAAUAUAUUAAAGAGUGAUACCACUUUU